UCCCCCUUCCUCGGCUGCCUACCCAACUAAAACGGCGGGAGGCGAAUCAAUGGUGGCGGAGGGGAGUGCGAUGAUGUCUGCGGACGAACUGCAUAAUGGGCUAGAAUUUCUCCUACAUCCAGUUGACAGAUUCCCGCUGACAGAAGUCACUGCCGAUGUUGAGCAGCCAGAUCCACCGGCGCUCAUGGACGUCCGGCGGUCAGCGCCGCCUACUGCCGACUCUUCUUGUGCCGUUGUGGUUGGCCACCUCGGUGUCUCCUCUGGGCAUAACAGAUCUGCUGGCAAGAGGCCGCUUUCACCAACCAAAUCCGCCGAGUCCACUAGGAAGGUUAACCCCGAGGCACCAGGAUGGACAAGAAGGGGAAACACGAGCAACAGAAUAGCCGUUCUUGCUGCUGCGAGUGCCAUGCGAUGGUCAGAUUACUAAGAGCUGUAGACAAUGGAUGGUACAUUGCUGAGCACUGGUCAAGCCACAAUCAUUCGAUGUCUCUUACAUGCAGAGAAAAAGUUCAUUGGCCGUCCCUCAAACACAUAGACAUGUACACAAAAGAUUUGGUGAAGCAGCUAAGGGCGAACAAUGUGAACCUCAGCAAGGUGUAUAGCAUAGUUGGCAGCUUCUUUGGUUCAUCACAUAGCGUGUCUUUCACAAAAAGGUCAUUACGCAAUCUAUGUGGACGAAUAAGCCGAGACCAAGCUGACGAUGAUGUCAACAAAACCUUAGUUGUGUUCAAAGAGAUUCAGCCGAAUGACCCGGAAUUCACGUACAUGGUCCAGGGUGAUGAGGAAAGCAGAAUAAAAAAACUUACGUGGACAAACGGAAACAGCAAGUUGCAGUACAAGUUCUUUGGUGAUGUUAUUACAUUCGACGUAUCGGACCAACUUGUAUGACAUGCCCUUUGCUUUGUUCGUUGGUGUGAACAAUCACUUUCAAAGCAUAAUACUUCCUGGUGUCCUGAUGCGUGAUGAGCAAGUCGAGAGCUUCUAGUGGGUAUUUUCUGAAUUCAUCAACAUGAUGGGCGGGAAGCAUCCACGAACAAUAUUGACAAGUGUGUGCGAAAAGCUUGAAAAUAACGAUGCAUAUGUAGAUAUGUAGUACCGGAUAAAUGCAAAAAAAAUGACUAUGUUUGCCAUGUUGUCCACAUUGUAGAUCAAGCAAGAUCCAGGGAGAUAGCGAUCAAGAGUGAGCUCCCUGAUACUGUGCACAGGUGGUGCAAGUGGCAUGUUCCUAAGAAAGCAAAGGAGAACCUUGGCCCACUAUACAUAAGCAAAAGCGAGUUCAGGGCUGAAUUCCACAAAGUCAUGAAUCACAUGAUAAGUGUGGAGGAACUUGAGACUGCAUGGGGUGCACUUGUUGAGAAAUACAAUUUGAAAACCCACAAUUACAUGACAAACCUUUACAAGAUACGUCGAAAGUGGGCGAAGCCGUACUUCAAAGGUGUCUUCUGUGCCAAAAUGACUAGCACCCAGCGCAGCGAGAGCGUCAACAACAUGCUGAAGAUUUACAUGCCGCCAUCUAGCCCAUUGCAUGUAUUCGUGCGCCAGUACACGAGGCUUCAAUUCGACUGUGAAUCAGAUGAGAGCUACCAAGAGAAAAGAACAAGGAUUAGUGGUGCUGUGAUGAGGACCAACAUUUCUAUCGAAAGGCACGCGAGUAAGAUUUAUGCAAGAAAGAUGUUUGAAUUAUUUGGUGAGAAUCUGUUCGAAGGUGGUUCAUACCAAGUUGAGGAAUUGCAAAAGAAAAAGAAAUAUAUCGCAAGGCACAAUGACGCUGAAAAAAGAGAGAAGUGAAGCAAGGUGGAAUAUGUAGUGACAAUACCGGAAGAAGGUGAUUAGUUCGAUUGUGAAUGCGGGCAGUUUGCCCACUUGGGGAUGCUUUGCUGCCAUGCCUUGAAGGUUAAUUGCUCACUAAAAACUUACAUGUGAUUUUUCUCGUCAAGUAUGAUUACAUAUCACUCGUGGGGGCUUACUUGUUUCAUCCUUAACUCAUGUGAUGGACUACAUUGGCGUGGAGGAGAUACCUAAAUGGCACAUCUUAAAAAGGUGGACAAAAGAUGCUAGAGACAUCUUGCCACAACACAUUGCUCAUUUCCAAAAAGACCAGGCUGCUAAUCAAUCAUUUACCUGUCGGAGUUCGACUCUGUACCUGCAUUCUAUGGAACAGGUGAGGAUUGGAGACUCGUCAGUCGCGGCAUACGAGCUGGUACUAGGGAAGAUCAAAGACCUAAUACUGGAGGCAUCUCCUUUGGGUGAAAAGAUAGAUGGACUAGGGAUUGAGGAUAGGAUAGCUGUAGAAGCAAGCAGAAAGAAAAACAUUGAUGCGGAAAUGGUUGACAAUGAGAACAACAUGACCAUGUCUGGCAAUUGGGAUGCGCUCGCUGGACUGUCAGCUCCAACCAAAAAAACAUGGCGUUGGGAGACCAAGCUCGAGCAGAGAGAAAGCACCAUAUGAAGGUCUGAGCAAGAGGACAAGGUUCUGCAGUAUGUAAAAGAGGACCACCUGCCCAGAGAGGGGUGAUGUUCCUAAGUAACCUCGCAAGCCUAUCACUUGCAAGAAUUGCAGUGUUACAGGGCACUGACGUACCUCAUGCACUAGGCUGCUUAUGCCCAAUAAUCUUAGGAUUUGUGCUGAACUUAUGUACUAGUAGAAUAAUCGAUGACUUUCCUAGUGUGUUACCUGUGGAUGAAUUUCCCAUGCUUGAUCGUCUUGACUGUAAACUAGUUGCCUUGAGCUGAAGUUGUUGUGUAUGA